rnacentral:rRNA from 1 species
UACGAGUGGUGCAAGCGUUAUUCGGAUUUAUUGGGCGUAAAGGGUGCGCAGACGGUUUGUUAAGUCACCUGUUAAAUUCUCUGGCCUAACCAGAGGCAUGCGGGUGAAACUGGCGAACUAGAGGGUGGAAGAGAGAAGUGGAAUUCUCGGAGUAGCGGUAAAAUGCGUAGAUCUCGAGAGGAACACCAAUGGCGAAGGCAGCUUCUUGGUCCAUUUCUGACGUUCAUGCACGAAAGCGUGGGGAGCAAACAGG